rnacentral:misc_RNA from 1 species
GUUGUUUGAUUAUAUUCCUUUUUGUCAAUUUUGAGAAUUUCGUUUUAAAUGUAUGCGCACAUGUAUGUAAUAAGGUUGGAGGGGGGGUUGGGAGGGAAGGUGUGAAGGGAAAUACCUUUCAUCACAAGAGAUAAAAAUAUGGAUUGCCUAACUGUUAGCUUCAAAUUUAUAAUACACAGUAUAGAUUUAUUAUUUAUUUGUUUGGAGUUUGUUGUAGUAUGUGGUUCUCACUUAAAUAAAUAAAUCUGUAUUAGAAUUUUAAUGGUUGAUUGAUAUAUCUAGGAUAACAUGUCAAGCAUGAGC